rnacentral:rRNA from 1 species
UUGAACGCUGGCGGCAGGCCUUACACAUGCAAGUCGAGCGAGAAAUUUUCUUCGGAAAGAGUAAAGCGGCGGACGGGUGAGUAACGCGUAGGAAUCUACCUAGUAGUGGGGGACAACAUGUGGAAACGCAUGCUAAUACCGCAUACGCCCUAUGGGGGAAAGCAGGGGAUCUUCGGACCUUGUGCUAUUAGAUGAGCCUGCACUUGAUUAGUUUGUUGGUGGGUAAUGGCCUACCAAGACUGUGAUCAAUAGCUGAUUUGAGAGGAUGAUCAGCCACAUUGGGACUGAGACACGGCCCAAACUCCUACGGGAGGCAGCAGUGGGGAAUCUUGC